rnacentral:rRNA from 1 species
AACGAACAACGCGUGGCGGCGUGCCUAACACAUGACAAGUCGUACGAGAAGUCGGCUUCGGCCGAUGAGUACAGUGGCGCACGGGUGAGUAGCGCGUGGGUAAUCUGCCCCCCGGUCAGGAAUAACCCCGCCGAAAGGCGGGCUAAUACCCGAUAACACUGACGCUCCGCGGAGCGUCUUUCAAAGAAGGCCUCUGUUUACAAGCUUUCGCCGGAGGAUGAGCCCGCGUACCAUUAGCUAGUUGGCAGGGUAAUGGCCUACCAAGGCUACGAUGGUUAGCUGGUCUGAGAGGAUGGCCAGCCACACUGGAACUGAGACACGGUCCAGACUCCUACGGGAGGCAGCAGUGAGGAAUCUUGCGCAAUGGGGGAAACCCUGACGCAGCAACGCCGCGUGAGUGAGGAAGGCCUUCGGGUCGUAAAGCUCUGUCAGAUGGGAAGAAAUGGAUGGGGGCUAAUAUCGCCCAUCCUUGACGGUACCAUCAGAGGAAGCACCGGCUAACUCCGUG